CAGCCGCCACGGUAAUACGAAGGGGGCUAGCGUUGUUCGGAAUCACUGGGCGUAAAGAGCACGUAGGCGGAUCUUUAAGUCAGGGGUGAAAUCCCGAGGCUCAACCUCGGAACUGCCUUUGAUACUGGGGAUCUCGAGUCCGGGAGAGGUGAGUGGAACUGCGAGUGUAGAGGUGAAAUUCGUAGAUAUUCGCAAGAACACCAGUGGCGAAGGCGGCUCACUGGCCCGGAACUGACGCUGAGGUGCGAAAGCGUGGGGAGCAAACAGGAUUAGAUACCCCUGUAGUCCCUGUCUCUUAUAC
rnacentral:rRNA from 1 species